CCUACGGGUGGCAGCAGUGAGGAAUAUUGGUCAAUGGACGAGAGUCUGAACCAGCCAAGUAGCGUGAAGGAUGACUGCACUGUGUGUUGUAAACUUCUUUUAUAUGGGAAUAAAAUGUUCCACGUGUGGGAUUUUGUGUGUACCUUAUGAAUAAGGAUCGGCUAACUCCGUGCCAGCAGCCGCGGUAAUACGGAGGAUCCGAGCGUUAUCCGGAUUUAUUGGGUUUAAAGGGAGCGUAGGUGGAUUGUUAAGUCAGUGGGUAAAGUUUGGGGCUCAACCGGAAAAUUGCAGUUGAAACUGGCAGUCGUGAGUACAGUAGAGGUGGGCGGAAUUCGUGGUGUAGCGGUGAAAUGCUUAGAUAGGGCGCAGAACUCCGAUUGCGAAGGCAGCAUACCGGCGGCGAUCUGACGCUGAGGCACGAAAGCGUGGGUAUCGAACAGGAUUAGAUACCCUAGUAGUC
rnacentral:rRNA from 1 species